rnacentral:rRNA from 1 species
GAUGAACGCUGGCGGCGCGCCUAACACAUGCAAGUCGAACGAUUAAAGCACCUUCGGGUGUGUAUAAAGUGGCGAACGGCUGAGUAACACGUGGGCAACCUGCCCCUUUCAUUGGGAUAGCCACGGGAAACCGUGGAUAAUACCGAAUACUUCGAGACUUCCGCAUGGAAGACUCGAGAAAGCUCCGGCGGGGAGGGAUGGGCCCGCGGCCUGUUAGCUUGUUGGUGGGGUAACGGCCUACCAAGGCAAUGAUGGGUAGCUGGGUUGAGAGACCGACCAGCCAGAUUGGGACUGAGACACGGCCCAGACUCCUACGGGAGGCAGCAGUGGGGAAUCUUGCACAAUGGGCGAAAGCCUGAUGCAGCGACGCCGCGUGCGGGAUGAAGGCCUACGGGUUGUAAACCGCUUUCAGCAGGGACGAGGCGAAAGUGACGGUACCUGCAGAAGAAGCCCCGGCUAACUACGUG